GAUGAACGCUGGCGGCGUGCCUAAUACAUGCAAGUCGAACGCAUUGAGAGAAGUGCUUGCACUUUUCAAUUUGAGUGGCGAACGGGUGAGUAACACGUGGGCAACCUACCUGAUAGCGGGGGAUAACGAGUGGAAACAUUCGCUAAUACCGCAUAACAAUAGAGAAGGCAUCUUCUUUAUUUAUAAGGCGCUUUCAAGCGUCACUAUCAGAUGGGCCCGCGGUGCAUUAGUUAGUUGGGGGGGUGAAGGCCUACCAAGACGAUGAUGCAUAGCCGAGUUGAGAGACUGAUCGGCCACAUUGGGACUGAGACACGGCCCAAACUCCUACGGGAGGCUGCAGUAGGGAAUCUUCCACAAUGGACGAAAGUCUGAUGGAGCAACGCCGCGUGUGUGAUGAAGGCUUUCGGGUCGUAAAGCACUGUUGUAUGGGAAGAAAUGCUAGGCUAGGAAGUGAGCUUAGUUUGACGGUACCAUACCAGAAAGGGACGGCUAAAUACGUGCCAGCCGCCGCGGUAA
rnacentral:rRNA from 1 species